AGUGAACGCUGGCGGUAGGCCUAACACAUGCAAGUCGAACGGCAGCACAGUAAGAGCUUGCUCUUACGGGUGGCGAGUGGCGGACGGGUGAGGAAUACAUCGGAAUCUACUUUUUCGUGGGGGAUAACGUAGGGAAACUUACGCUAAUACCGCAUACGACCUACGGGUGAAAGCAGGGGAUCUUCGGACCUUGCGCGAUUGAAUGAGCCGGUGUCGGAUUAGCUAGUUGGCGGGGUAAAGGCCCACCAAGGCGACGAUCCGUAGCUGGUCUGAGAGGAGGAUCAGCCACACUGGAACUGGAACACGGUCCAGACUCCUACGGGAGGAAGCAGUGGGGAAUAUUGGACAAUGGGCGCAAGCCUGAUCCAGCCAUACCGCGUAGGUGAAGAAGGCCUUCGGGUUGUAAAGCCCUUUUGUUGGGAAAGAAGAGCAGCAGGUUAAUACCCCGCUGUUCUGACGGUACCCAAAGAAUAAGCACCGGCUAACUUCGUG
rnacentral:rRNA from 1 species